UUUGAGGCUUAGGGGAGGAACCAUGAUUAAGGUGAGACGCUCACUGGAAAAGAAAUUGAAAUUGACAUCGAACCAACUGAUACCAUUGAUCGUAUCAAGGAACGAGUCGAAGAGAAAGAAGAAUUCCUCCAGUUCAGCAAAGGCUUAUAUAUGCGGGGAAGCAACUUGCAGAUGACAACAGCGCGUGACUACAAUAUUGAGGGUGGAUCUGUGCUGCAUCUCGUGCUUGCACUGAGGGGUGGCUGUAUCUAGAUGGUCCCUCAAAUAUUUGACAGAAUCUGCUCCGAUUUUUCUUUGGCUUAAAACCUACAUGGAACGUAUAUGAAUUGAUUUUCGCAGACGCAGAUUGUGUGUUGUAUUAUUAUAAUAUUGCCUUCUUUGGAUGGCCGGGAGAUAAAAAGAUUGAAAAGAAAGUCUGGGUUUUCCUA